UGUUUGAAUUAUUAAAUGAAGCAUUAUAAGCUUCAAGUGUUCGCUGACUUUAGCUACUCGCAGACGGUUUUGGUUCCUAACCCCCGCGAAUCUUGGGUGUCCAUUUUAUUCAAGGUGUUUGUCUAAAUCUAAUCUAUCUGUUCGUCUUCCAUAUUUUUGCUGUGCCUACAAGGUGCAAACAGAAACUUCUAUGUCUCUAUUUAACAAUGUCUUCCUUCUUUUCACUCUUUGUUUUAGUAAACGACUGAUAUUGAUCUCUUCAGAUUCUCCCACCUGAGCGUCGGCGCUCUGCAGCUCCUCCUGAGUUACGUUGGGUCCAUUGGCUGCUUCUCUAAUUAAAUCUUUUAUUAGCUUAGAUUGUCGGCCAUGUCCCAGCUGGACUUUUAGCUGUGAUCUAUUCAGUCUAAUUCUAUGCUUUGUUAUCUAUUUGCACUAUUUGAACCAUUCGAAAGAAGGUUUACUGUAGUUUAGUUUUACAUAGUUGACUGUAGCCAGCCUGUUGUUUUUCGUCAGUUUCAGUCUUUACUAUUUAUUCAGAAUUUCACUGACUGAUCAAAUUAAAGUUGUGUUGUUUUUACAUGUUUAACCAAACUUGUGAAGCUAUCAGUGCCUUUAUGUCUGGUGUACUAGUGCAUAGUUAUCAAGAAAAUUUGUAAUUCAGUACGCUUAUGUCUGUGUUUAGAAAAACAAAGCGUUUUAAGGCACGUUUUUCUGUAUUGGAUCAGUAUCCAAUACCUCAGAUAUUUGUAUCGGCAUACCUUGUUGUAACGUGACCAAAUGUGGAAAAUUUCAAAAGGCAAGAAUAGUUUCACAAAGCUCUGUAGUCUAGAUGAAAAUAUGAAAAUCCUGGCAAGAGCUACAGCAAUUUGUGCGCUCCGAGGACGGAAUCAAAGUUGAACAAAAGUAUGAAACUAUGACCAAUUUGUCUUAGCUCUCCUCAACUUCACAUCUACUCAGCAGCACUUAUCAUCAGUGCUCCAUUUUCUAUUUCAGCCCGUCACGGCCGAGCGUUUCCCUGACGUGUUGCUUUGAAGUUGGAUGAAGGGAAGGUGAGACAUCAUGCGCUCAGAUGCCCCACAGACGCUGCGGUUUCAGGGAGUUUAUCACCCAGACAGGGAGACGGCGUUGGUGUCCUGCCCCCUUUACAUCCUCCACUGCGGCAGGAGGCUGAACGUGACAAACCGUCCUCGGCAGCUGCUCAGGGAGCCAGGCCUUGCAAAUACCGCAGGCCUGAUAAUGACUUCCACGCCGUCGUGACAACUUGCGCUUUUAUGGGAAAGGCGAGGAAGGACGCUUCUGGCGAGCUCGCAGCACCGUAGGCUGGAACAUUGUCUACAAACCAGACAAUCAAAGAGAGAAGGGCAGGGAAGCAUCUGUGGAAUCUGUGACGCCGACCUCGGCUGAUUGAUGAUCACUGCCGAGGAGGAGAAUGAAUUUAGAAGUAAAUUGCAGGGAAACCAAAGCUGUACCGCUCUCCAAAUUCAACCACAACAUCUGUAAGCGAUGUGCUACUGUUGCAUUAUCCAUGCUCUUCCUUUAUUUUCCCCAUGCAGAAGGAGAAGCCACAUGCCACCUCUGAUCAAUUCUCCACAAAGAGAGGCCAGAUGAAGUUUUCCAAUUAGGCCAGCCUUCGCUAUUCUUAGUCUUCCUCACAAUCACACAUCAUGCUAUUUGUAAUCACUAAAGCCUUUUGCUUUCAAGGCACCAGAAAAGCAGCUGCCUUUGAUCUUCUUCCAAUAGUGGCAGCCUAGAAAUAUCUCCUAAAUAAAGGGCCUAUAAAUACACAGCUACACAAUGAAGGUUUCUAAAACUCUGGCUGUAAAAGAAGAAAAUAUAAAGCAGUUAUGUUCUACCUUGAUAAAAAGACAAGAAAGGACAGCAGCGCAAAGAAGAUGACACCCACACUUGAAUAUAUUAUGCGGCCUGAAAGCUGAGCCUCUGUAUUAACUGCAGCACCGACGGGAUGUCAGAGUCCAUUUCCAAACAAAGAAGGUCCAAAAUAGACAGGAGAUACUGUGAGGGAUAGGCCUACUUUGGGAAAGUUUUAUUUUGGCUCACAGGAGGAAGUUACAUAACCAAGAAAAUACAACUCACUCUGGAAUCGAUGGAAAGUGUAAGGAAAAAGCUCCAUAUUCAGCCAGGAGAAACAAUGAGGACACCCCAUUAAAUAUUCAGUUCUUUAUUAGGAAAUGUUAACAUAUUGGUGUGUAAUUCCACGUUUUUAUCUAUGGAAAUGAAUUGAUUGCUGUUAAACAACAAAAAGUGAUGCUUGUUUUAGUCACACCUCAACAGAAAUGAGCAGAAUUAGGAGAAAAAGUAAGGCCUACCCUAUAAACUAGCGCUACCUACUUUAGCUCAGAGAUCAUUGACUAUAACCAUCUGGUUUCUUACCCAACUUGCUUGUAGUCACAAUCUGUGCUUUGAUUUUCCAUGUCUUAGUUUGCAGCCAGUCCUGGGUGGAUUUAUUGUUUAGUUUUUUUAAAUACAUUUUUCACAGACGGGUUCACAUUUUCUUAAAGCAACCUCUGAAACAGUACAAUUCAUGCUGGAUUCUUUGAAAGAGAGCUUCUGCUACAAAUCAUGACACUUUCACCUCUGUGCUUCACAGUUAUUUUCUUGGAACGUAAUAUUUAUUUCCUGUCAGACAUCUCUUCUAUUCUGGUGUUUAGUCUCAUAUUUCCAAAUAAUAUUGCAGACCAGGAUGUCUGAUAUUAUUAUUGCAGACAUCCUGGUUUUUCUCUAUGGUAUCUCUGACAAAUGUUAGUGUGGCUUUCAUCUUUUUCCAGAAAACAAACGCUUCCUCUUUCUUUCUCUGAUUGCAUAGAUAUGAACUUUCAUAUCAACAGUAGCACGAGGUUGCUGUAGGCCAUGCAAUGACAUAUUAGCAUUUUUGGAGACUUCUUUUAUCAUGUUGCGAUCUGCUAUCAAGGAAACCUUGCUUGCAUCGUUAGAUGUGGGCAUGUUAGCGGUUGUUUUUAUGGAGAGUUGAGUAGUAGUUUGUUACAUUUUCUCUAAUUACAUUGUGGGGUGAAAAAUGUACUUUUAAGAGUGUUUUUACUACGCUGUACAUUUUACUUCUACUUGAGUAAUUUUAUUAUGAAGUACUGUUGCUCCUGAUUAAAAUUUCUGGAUGCUCUACUCACUGUGACUAACUUCACUAAUUGAAGAACAAGGUUGUUUUAACCAUAAAGUCACCAGACAAGUUUCAUAAGUUUUAGAUUGAAAGAAUUUGAUUUUGAAAAACAACAAAAAGGCUUGAUUUUGUUAUUUUGUAAUUAUUUAUAUGAAUUUCUUUCACUUGGAUCUUUAAAACACCAACAUAUUCACAAAGCUUUAUAUUUUGGUCUGUUUGAUUAUGACAUUUUUAAAUAUUAAAUGACUUAUAUUUUGAUUAGCUACUUCAUAAUUGAGUAGCCUUUUUACCAAAUGCUUUUUCUUAAAUCUUAAUUAAGUACAAUGGGUGCUCGACCCACCUCUUUUUUUAUGUCUUCCAUUUGUAAAAUAGUUUACAUUCAGUAGUUACUCAUUUCAGAUUCUAAUGGGAUGAAAAAGGUCAAGAUAUGUCUAAAUGUCUCAAAGACACAGGGUGGCGCAUGCUGGUGGUGUUUUUUUUUUUGUUUUGUUUUUUUGCACAUGGCUGGUGAAGCAUUUAUUUAACAUACACACAUAAAGUCCCCUUGAAGCCUGCAAGAGCAAACCAGGUGCAGAGGGAGCACUGCAGUCUUACUGCAGGAGUGGAUGUGGGUGAUGCCGCUGGCCCGCUGGAAACUAUAAAUGUGUUUGUGUGCAUGAGGCGUUAUGCAGCAGAGUCACAUUUUCACCAUAUUCUCUGAGCCAGUCACACAGCCAGCGCAGCAUUCUGAACACAACAGCUGUGACUCAGGAUUCAAACCUCCUUUUAAGGGCAACAACUAGAGAGAGACGUGAUAAUGCAGCAGAUGAUUUGGACGCGGAGGUUGUUUACAUCAACGCCUGGUUGUGACUGAAAAUAUCUGGGGGUUUUCCAUCGGACGGGAAGCUAUGACGACAGCUAGCUGUAUGUGAAAGCUUACUUCAACUUAAACCUCAGUGCUUUCUGUUCCUGGUUGUCAAACUGAGUCGACACAGCAGCAAGCCACUGAAACUACCUUCUGUUUAAAAAUGGAAGUGAAAACAAUGAUGUUCAUUUACAUUUUUUUUCUUUUUCUGCGGGGAUUUUUUCCCUCCUCCCUCCCCCUCGGUGCUGCACCUUUCACCGAGUCGUCUGUCCCCAGCAGAGGCGGGCAGAUUAAAAGGAUGCGUUACCAUCUUGUUUUUUUUUUUUUUUCUAAAUGGAUACACAUGUGGCACAUCUGGGUCCAGGCCUGACUCAUUACUCUCCUUUUUUAUGCUCGGUUCUCUGCAGCCAUGGCAACUGCUGCAUGUUUGGCAGAAAGCUUUUGAAGGCAGUGGAAAAAGAGAGCGAUGGAGAGGAGGGAGGGGGGGAGAAAGAGAGGGAGAGCUCUCAGUAGUUGGCCUACAUCCAGUGUAAUCAUGCCAUGGAGCUGAAAUGAGGCCUUUGGCAGCACACCAGGUUUCUGAGAACAAAGAUGUGAGCUUCUAAUGUUGGCGGUGGGGCCUGCUUGGCAUCCUUUGCCAUUUCCCAGCAGCCCUUGCCUUGGCCGGCUGCCAGCCACCACCCCCCUCCUUCCCUGCUGGGACUGCAAAGAGGAUCAGAAUAAAGAGAGAGACUUGUUUUUCACUCGCCUCUUGCUCUGGCCAAUGACAUCACCUCUGCAGCCUCCAGCCCCCAGAUUCCAGCCGCCCAGCACAUUUUUCCCCUCUUGCCGUCCACCCUCCAUCUUAUUUCAAAUCCACCAUUUCAGAUUUUUAUUAAAACUGACUCCUUAAAUUACGCUUUUUGCUGUUGCAACACUGUCCAUAUGCUGCACAUGAUUUCUGCUGUCAUAAUGUGAAAUUGAAAAAUCAAUGAAAAGUUUCCAAACUAUACACUGACAACAAGACGAAAGAAAGCUCAUUAUGUUUCCUAUCUCCUCAAAUUAAAAUCAGUACACUAAUCCUUCCAGCGUAAGAGAGCAGCUAAAAAUAGCACCACUACCAGGAUAUAUACGGCAGCUAGUCUAGUCGAUAAUCACCAUGGCUAAUUCUAACACACAAAACGAUGUGAAUUAAGCAAGCAUUUAAACAUUUACUGCAAUAUAAGUACCUCAUGCCCAAAAUUAAGCAUAGUGUCUGUGAUGCUGUAGUCCUGUUUCUCCUCCAAAGUUACAGGAAGUCUUGCGUAUAAGACCUGUGUGACGUAAGCAAAUUGGUGAAUUGGCAAAUUGGUGCAUUGCUUAGCCUAUAUCACACUAUACUUUCCUCAGGGCCAAUGUAAGGCAUGGUAGAGGGUCUGUGAUGCUGUGGUGACCCACAGAAAAUUUUUAUAGGGGUGGCGAGAUCAGACCGGCAAAAAAAUUUAGUGAGGUCCAGCUAAAAAAAUAGAAAAAGAAACAAACAUUUUUUUAUUUAUGUUUUUUUAUUUGGGAUUUACAUUGGGGCCAUGGCCUCCUCUUGCCCCUCCCUCAGGGACACCACUGUGUUUGUUGCCAAAGCAACAAAACAAAAAAUUCCUUCUUGCGUAUUGAAACUGUGCGACGUAAGAUAACUAUUUCCUCUACUCAAUAUACAUUUAUUAAUCUUUGCCGCAAUAUCGGUACGUCAUGUGAAGCAUGGUGGAAGAUGUGUGAUGCUCCGUAUUUAGAGUGCAUAUUCUCAGGGAAAUGUCAUUAUUAGAAAGUGCCAUGUGUACUCUUGUCCUGUUCCAGCCUCCCUCCAGGUUGGCACAGACGGUUACAGUUUAAUCUGCUUACCUCAGCAGUUAAUGUGAAAAAAAAAGGUUGAAUAACGCACAUUGUGGCUGGGUCAAACAGACAAACAAACAAACAAACAAACAAACAAAUCCAGACCUGAGCUGAAGUGGAAAACUUCACAAAGAAUUUACAACGCCUUCCCAGUGCGGUAUAACAUUUCAGAAAGUGUUAAGACAAAAAUAACGUCAUCUCAUCCUGCUCGCGGUGCUGUCACAUGCUGGGUAUUCCCCUGGCCAUCACCUACCGCUCAGGCUUUAUUUAGCUCCCACAUGUCUCGAUCUACAGUCACAAAACGAAGCUAGAGGAUGAAUUAUACAGCCGCUCCAUCUGGUUUAGUGGAGGCUCACAUCAGACGGCCACCAGUCGGGUUGCACUGUUCUUUUUCUACUGUAUACACGGUUUACAUCGCCAGUCAGGGCCAUCUGGUCAUGUUUGACUACCUCCCAGACUUUUGCUGCCUCUGUGAUUUAUAGCAACAUUCUUCUUCUUCUGUUUCUUCUUCUUUUUAUAAUAAUAAUAAUAAUAAUAAUAAUAAUAAUAAAUCAGGUCAUUUAGAUUGAAAUAAAUCCCGGCAUGCCUCUGUCUUGCAUAAUAGCUGCUUGGUCCUGCAGCUAUUUGCUUACACAAACGUCGACGGAGUGGAAAAGCAAAAAGGAUCAAAGCGAUAGGCAACUGUUUUCCACCAGUCUCAAGGAAAGACUUUUGUUUAUUUUGUCCCUCGCAACAGCUAUUUCCCAACCGCGCCGUAAAGGCCCAGCUCCACAUUCUUUUGUUGCUCACCCAGCGAGGACAGGGAGUUGAGAGAAAGCGGAGAUGGAAACAUAGCAGUUUACAAUUAAACUCAAACUUGUGACAGUUGUGUACAGGGGAAUAUAACUUCCCCGUGCUCGGUGCAGAUAGAUCGGGAGCAGAAGUGUCUUACUUUGUUUACGGAAAGCCUUUUGAAGAAGGGCCCCAUGCCACAGUGCAUGAUCAUGGCCGCAGGCAGGGAGCCAAAUGGCCUCAUGUUCUGUGUAGAUGGGCGAGGCGGAUGAGGGUUUCAGACGCAUUGCCUCACCCAAAGCCCGAGGCUAAGCUGCAACGAGCUGGAAUGAGCCCAGAUGAGAGACGGAGAGAAAGAAAGAGAGAGAGAGAGAGAGAGAGAGAGAGAGAGCAAGAAAGAGAGGGAGAGGAAUCUGAACUGCUGGGACACUCCUCCAGUUCAAACCUACACUUUUACUUCAGGGGAUUUUGGCUGGGGUUUUGGUGUCUAACUUGUUUCAUGUGACAUUUUUCCCCUCCUUUAUGUAAAACAGCACAACUGUGAAGCAAUUCAUCUAAAUAAACCUUUCAGGCACAUAAAUUUGGGAGCAAAACUGACUUCUGCUUUAACAAAAACAAUAAUAGAAGCAGUAGAUGAUGAAUUUCUUGUCUAAAUAUGAGUCACUUUUGUAUUGGGAGGACUGAUGGCCAAAAGAUUAGUGAAGAAAAUUCCAGGCUAAAGGUCACAAGUUGUUAAUAUCUUCCUGGCAUUUUAAUUUAGCAUAAAUAAGAUUUAAUUGGUCUGGGAAAUUUAACUUUAAAAUAUCCCCAGUCAUAAUCAGAACAUGAUUAUUAAAAAAAUAGCUCUUUUACCAGCUGUACUUAUAGGCUAAAUAAAAUAAGCUACUUUUUGGAUUCAGAACAUAGGAAAAACUUUAUUUUUUACAUUAAGAAAAAUAAGAUGAUUUUAAAUACAUGAAGAUUUUAUAUUUGUGAAAAUUGAAGAAAAGAAAGUGCAGAGUUUGUCUUAUUUUAUUCCAUUGCUGCCAUUCUAUUGUGGGUUUUUUCAUGAAAACCCAUGAAAACUGCAAACAUUUUGUUACCUUUAUGUAUUUAUAUCUGUACGUGUUGGGUUUAGUGAGUUUUUUUAUUUUGUUUUUUUGUUCUAGUUGCUGGAUUUGCGAUUAUAUUACAAUCUCCAUUCUGCCCCAACUUCUGCUGUUUGGGGCAGAAGUUUCCAGAAUCCUUGUUGAUAAAAUAAACACACCGAACUUCA